rnacentral:rRNA from 1 species
UACAGAGGUGGCAAGCGUUGUUCGGAAUUACUGGGCGUAAAGGGCGCGUAGGCGGUCUUUUAAGUUCCGUGUGAAAUCCCUCGGCUCAACUGGGGAACUGCACGGAAAACUGGGAGGCUUGAGUUCGGGAGAGGGAAGCGGAAUUCCCGGUGUAGUGGUGAAAUGCGUAGAUAUCGGGAGGAACACCAGUGGCGAAGGCGACUACCUGGCCCAUUCUUGACGCUGAGGCGCGAAAGCUAGGGGAGCGAACGGG